rnacentral:rRNA from 1 species
UACGUAGGGCGCAAGCGUUGUCCGGAAUUAUUGGGCGUAAAGAGCUCGUAGGCGGCUUGUCGCGUCGACUGUGAAAUCCCGCGGCUCAACUGCGGGUCUGCAGUCGAUACGGGCAGGCUAGAGUUCGGUAGGGGAGACUGGAAUUCCUGGUGUAGCGGUGAAAUGCGCAGAUAUCAGGAGGAACACCGAUGGCGAAGGCAGGUCUCUGGGCCGAUACUGACGCUGAGGAGCGAAAGCGUGGGGAGCGAACAGG